rnacentral:rRNA from 1 species
UACAGAGGGUGCGAGCGUUGUCCGGAAUCACUGGGCGUAAAGGGCGCGUAGGCGGUCUGCUAAGCGUGUGGUGAAAGCCCGGGGCUCAACCCCGGGUCGGCCGUGCGAACUGGCGGACUGGAGCUUGUCAGAGGCAGGCGGAAUUCCGGGUGUAGCGGUGGAAUGCGUAGAGAUCCGGAAGAACACCGGUGGCGAAGGCGGCCUGCUGGGACAGUGCUGACGCUGAGGCGCGACAGCGUGGGGGAGCAAACAGG